UUCUAGCCCCGAUGGAAGUAAGCUACCGAGUAGCACAAACAGCGGGAAAAUGG
rnacentral:misc_RNA from 1 species